rnacentral:lncRNA from 10 species
CUCCUUCCCAGAUCUUCUCGGCUUAGCGGCUGAAGACUGAUACUGCCCGAUCGCCUCAGAAGCCCCCUAGACCAUCACGGAUGCCGAGCUUCAGGUAACUCUCACAAUGGAAGGUAAGCCCGUCCCCUUCUUAAUCAAUACAGAGGCUACCCGCUCCACAUUACAUUCUUUUCAAGGGCCUGUUUCCCUUGCCUCCAUAACUGUUGUGGGUAUUGACAGCCAGGCUUCUAAACCUCUUAAAACUCCCCAACUCUGGUGCCAACUUAGACAAUACUCUUUUAAGCACUCCUUUUUAGUUAUCCCCACCUGCCCAGUUCCCUUAUUAGGCUGAGACACCUUAACUAAAUUAUCUGCUUCCCUGACUAUUCCUGGACUACAGCUAUAUCUCAUUGCCGCCCUUCUUCCCAAUCCAAAGCCUCCUUUGCGUCCUCCUCUUGUAUCCCCCCACCUUAACCCACAAGUAUAAGAUACCUCUACUCCCUCCUUGGCGACUGAUCAUGCACCCCUUACCAUCUCAUUAAAACCUAAUCACCCUUACCCCACUCGACACCAAUAUCCCAUCCCGCAGCACGCUUUAAAAAGAUUAAAGCCUGUUAUCACUCGCCUGCUACAGCAUGGCCUUUUAAAGCCUAUAAACUCUCCUUACAAUUCCCCCAUUUUACCUGUCCUAAAACCAGACAAGCCUUACAAGUUAGUUCAGGAUCUGCGCCUUAUCAACCAAAUUGUUUUGCCUAUCCACCCCGUGGUGCCAAACCCAUAUACUCUCCUAUCCUCAAUACCUGCCUCUACAACCCAUUAUUCUGUUCUGGAUCUCAAACAUGCUUUCUUUACUAUUCCUUUGCACCCUUAAUCCCAGCCUCUCUUUGCUUUCACUUGGACUGACCCUGACACCCAUCAAGCUCAGCAAAUGACCCAGGCUGUACUGCCGCAAAGCUUCACAGACAGCCCCCAUUACUUUAAUCAAGCCCAAAUUUCUUCCUCAUCUGUUACUUAUCUCGGCAUAAUUCUCAUAAUAACACACGUGCUCUCCCUGCCAAUCGUAUCCGACUGAUCUCUCAAACCCCAGCACCUUCUACAAAACAACUCCUUUCCCUCCUAGGCAUGGUUAGCGCGGUCAGAAUUCUUACACAAGAGCCAGGACCACACCCUGUAGCCUUUCUGUCCAAACAACUUGACCUUACUGUUUUAGCCUAGCCCUCAUGUCUGCGUGCAGCGGCUGCCACUGCUUUAAUACUUUUAGAGGCUCUCAAAAUCACAAACUAUGCUCAACUAACUCUCUACAGUUCUCAUAACUUCCAAAAUCUAUUUUCUUCCUCAUACCUGACGCAUAUACUUUCUGCUCACCGGCUCCUUCAGCUGUACUCACUCUUUAAGUCCCACAAUUACCAUUCUUCCUGGCCUGGACUUCAAUCUGGCCUCUCACAUUAUUCCUGAUACCACACCUGACCCCCAUGACUGUAUCUCUCUGAUCCACCUGAUAUUCACCCCAUUUCCCCAAAUUUCCUUCUUUCCUGUUCCUCACCCUGAUCAUGCUUGAUUUAUUAAUGGCAGUUCCACCAGGCCUAAUCGCCGCACACCAGCAAAGGCAGGUUAUGCUAUAGUACAAGCCACUAGCCCGCCUCUUAGAACCUCUCAUUUCCUUUCCAUCGUGGAAAUCUAUCCUCAAGGAAAUAACUUCUCAGUGUUCCAUCUGCUAUUCUACUACUCCUCAGGGAUUAUUCAGGCCCCCUCCCUUCCCUACACAUCAAGCUCGAGGAUUUGCCCCCACCCAGGACUGGCAAAUUAGCUUUACUCAACAUGCCCGAGUCAAGAGACUAAAAUACCUCUUAGUCUAAAUAGACACUUUCACUGAAUAAGUAAAGGCCUUUCCUACAGGGUCUGAGAAGGCCACCGCAGUCAUUUCUUCCCUUCUGUCAGACAUAAUUCCUCAGUUUAGCCUUCCCACCUCUAUACAGCCUGAUAACAGACCAGCCUUUAUUAGUCAAAUCAGCCAAGCAGUUUUUCAGGCUCUUAGUAUUCAGUGAAACCUUUAUAUCCCUUACGGUCCUCCGUCUUCAAGAAAAGUAGAAUGGACUAAAGGUCUUUUAAAAACACACCUCACCAAGCUCAGCCACCAACUUAAAAAGGACUGGACAAUACUUUUACCACUUUCGCUUCUCAGAAUUCAGGCCUGUUCUCGGAAUGCUACAGGGUACAGCCCAUUUAAGCUCCUGUAUAGACGCUCCUUUUUAUUAGGCCCCAGUCUCAUUCGACACCAGACCAACUUAGACUGUGCCCAUAAAAACUUGUCAUCCCUACUAUAUUCUGUCUAGUCAUACUCCUAUUCACCAUUCUCAACUACUCAUACAUGCCCUGCUCUUGUUUACACUGCCGGUUUACACUGUUUCUCCAAGCCAUCACAGCUGAUAUCUCCUGGUGCUAUCCCCAAACUGCCACUCUAAACUCUUGAAGUAAAUAAAUAAUCUUUGCUGGCAGGACUAUGCUGAAUGUCCUUAGGCACUCUCUAAUCAGAUGUCCUAGGUCCUCCCAAUUCUUAGACCUUUUAUACCUGUUUUUCUCCUUCUCUUAUUCCAUUUAGUUUUUCAAUUCAUACAAAACCGUAUCCAGGCCAUCACCAAUCAUUCUAUACGACAAAUGUUUCUUCUAACAACCCCACAAUAUCACCCCUUACCACAAGACCUCCCUUCAGCUUAAUCUCUCCCACUCUAGGUUCCCACACCGCCCCUAAUCCCGCUUGAAGCAGCCCUGAGAAACAUCGCCCAUUCUCUCUCCAUACCACCCCCCAAAAAUUUUCACUGCCCCGACACUUCAACACUAUUUUGUUUUAUUUUUCUUAUUAAUAUAAGAAGGCAGGAACGUCAGGCCUCUGAGCCCAAGCCAAGCCAUCGCAUCCCCUGUGACUUGCACAUAUACACCCAGAUGGCCUGAAGUAACUGAAGAAUCACAAAAGAAGUGAAAAGGCCCUGCCCCGCCUUAACUGAUGACAUUCCACCAUUGUGAUUUGUUCCUGCCCCACCUUAACUGAGUGAUUAACCCUGUGAAUUUCCUUCUCCUGGCUCAGAAGCUCCCCCACUGCACCUUGUGACCCCCGCCCCUGCCCACCAGAGAACAACCCCCUUUGACUGUAAUUUUCCAUUACCUUCCCAAAUCCUAUAAAACGGCCCCACCCUUAUUUCCCUUCACUGACUCUCUUUUUGGACUCAGCCCACCUGCACCCAGGUGAAAUAAACAGCUUUAUUGCUCACACAAAGCCUGUUUGGUGGUCUCUUCACAUGGACGCGCAUGAAACCUGGGACUCUGGAAGUGGAACUGAGAAAGAAAAGUCAGUUUUGGUCUGGGUGCCUGAACAUCAUGAUGGAAAACUUAGGGGGUUUCUGGUGGAGUGUUUUGUCAUGUUACUGGUAAAGCAGAGGAGACUGAUUAUUGGUGAUAAAAGCAAGAAUGGAGCAGACCUGCAGAGAAAUAUAUGAAAAAGCAAGAAGGCAAAGCUGAGAGAAACAGAUGCUACCCACAGGGCAGCG